AUUGAACGCUGGCGGCAGGCCUAACACAUGCAAGUCGGACGGUAGCACAGAGGAGCUUGCUCCUCGGGUGACGAGUGGCGGACGGGUGAGUAAUGUCUGGGGAUCUGCCCGAUAGAGGGGGAUAACCACUGGAAACGGUGGCUAAUACCGCAUAACGUCGCAAGACCAAAGAGGGGGACCUUCGGGCCUCUCACUAUCGGAUGAACCAAGAUGGGAUUAGCUAGUAGGCGGGGUAACGGCCCACCUAGGCGACGAUCCCUAGCUGGUCUGAGAGGAUGACCAGCCACACUGGAACUGAGACACGGUCCAGACUCCUACGGGAGGCAGCAGUGGGGAAUAUUGCACAAUGGGCGCAAGCCUGAUGCAGCCAUGCCGCGUGUAUGAAGAAGGCCUUCGGGUUGUAAAGUACUUUCAGCGGGGAGGAAGGCGAUGUGGUUAAUAACCGCGUCGAUUGACGUUACCCGCAGAAUAAGCACCGGCUAACUCUGUGCCAGCCGCCGCAGUAA
rnacentral:rRNA from 1 species